UGCUUAGUAUUUUGGAGUCAAAUAAGACAAGAUGUUAUGUGUUUGAUUGAGCAUAAGAACUAGAACCGCAACAUCUUCCCAAAAGCUAAA
rnacentral:sRNA from 1 species